AAUUCCCAAAAGUGGAUAGCUAUGAAAUCAAGAAGUAUUAAUAGUAUGAGUGAAGACUGAAGUUCUUCACAGGAUGCCUCAGUCACCCAAUAGUCUAUGUUUCCCCAAGGAGAUGCAAGA
rnacentral:snoRNA from 1 species